UACGUAGGGGGCAAGCGUUGUCCGGAAUUAUUGGGCGUAAAGAGCUUGUAGGCGGUUUGUCGCGUCUGCCGUGAAAUUUCGAGGCUCAACCUCGAACUUGCGGUGGGUACGGGCAGACUAGAGUGUGGUAGGGGAGACUGGAAUUCCUGGUGUAGGCGGGUGAAAUGCGCAGAUAUCAGGAGGAACACCGAUGGCGAAGGCAGGUCUCUGGGCCACUACUGACGCUGAGAAGCGAAAGCAUGGGGAGCGAACAGG
rnacentral:rRNA from 1 species